AUGACCUUUACAAUGAUUUUGUUUUCAAAAUGGUAUUUGGUUUCGCUGCAUAGCCUACACUUCUGUUGGUGCACAUUCCACUUUGUUCAUCAAUUUUUCUUUAUUAUGGCAGUGCUGUCUGCAAGGGUCUCAGGUUAUUUUAAGUGUUUCUCUACAGCUGUGAAGCAUAAUAAUGAUUUGACAUGUCCUCUUUGUUUGUAAACGUUUUGCCUUAGUUUUUAUUUUGGAGUUCUGUGGUAACUUUAAUUUAUCCGUUACCGUUACCGUAACCGUGUUUCAUCAAAGGCAUGACGAAUGUUACAAGAAUUAUAACCAGCCAAGCACCAUUGGUGUUGAAAAACCUGAAUGGAUUGAUCUGUGUCCAUAAGCCGUCUGAAAGGAGUGUGAAGUCAGUUCGCAAAAUUAUUGCUGCAACAUUUGUAAUGGUAAUCAUUUCAGUUAUUUACACAUAGUAUUAAGCAUGAGGAUUCCGCAAGGUGAUUCUUCAAAGCAAUUUUGUCUUGGAAUCGGGCCUUUAUGAAAACUAAGAUAAGAAAAUUUUGUAUUUUGGUCUGAAAUUUUGUACUGCAGUCAGAUCAGGGCAGUAAAAUUCCAUGAAGUUUCUCUUGAAAUAUUUUCGGAACUCUCAGAAAUUUGUGAAAUAAGCGGUCCUUCCCCAGCGAAUUUUAAGGAUGAGAAGAAAAUAACUAAUUUUACAGAAAAUCCUUGCUGUUUGUUGAUUUCUGUGACUACAGGAAUAGUCGAGUUGUGCAACGUCUUGAUUCUGAAAGAGUUAGGUAUUUACCAAACGCCAUUAUUUCAUUUUACAGGCAUUGAACUUCUUCUUCACAGCUUUGAUGUGGAAAAUGUUGAUUUUGAAUUGUCACAGAUGGCCUCUACUGUUAGAUGUUAUUAGCCAUGCCACUGAGGUACCAUGAUUGUCUCAUCUUUCUAAUUUUUUUUUUUUUUUUUUUUUUUUUUUUUUUUUAACUACUCAAGGCUAAUCCAUCUGCUGUGACAGUUUGAGCAUCCCUACCUAUUUUCAUUUAAA
rnacentral:lncRNA from 1 species